rnacentral:rRNA from 1 species
UACGAAGGGGGCUAGCGUUGUUCGGAAUUACUGGGCGUAAAGCGUGCGCAGGCGGCUUCUCAAGUCAGGGGUGAAAGCCCAGAGCUCAACUCUGGAAUUGCCUUUGAGACUGAGUGGCUUGAGUACGAGAGAGGUGAGUGGAAUUCCCAUUGUAGAGGUGAAAUUCGUAGAUAUUGGGAAGAACACCGGUGGCGAAGGCGGCUCACUGGCUCGUAACUGACGCUCAUGCACGACAGCGUGGGGAUCAAACAGG